UUCACACACCCUCACAUGAAGUUGUGAGACUACAGCUGCCGGAGUCGUGACUGGAAAACGACACAAGAGACUCACAGCACUCGACCUCCAUCUCAAGCUGCUGUCGGGCUUUUAAACACAACAAGCCCCUAAAAAACACAGAGACUUAUGAAGAGUUUCUCCGGAGAAAACAAACCGACUCUGCUUUGAGGGCUUUUCAGCGGAGCGAGACAAACCUCACGACGAGUGACUUCUGAGCAGCCACCACCACUGUGGCGCACAUCCCCGUAGGGUUGCGUCGUCACCGUCAACUUCAACAAAAAAGAUCGGAUAUUUCCCUCGCAGCGCAGUCACGGACUCUUCACAGAUUGUGAAAGCGAACAUGUUGCAAAGCUUCAGUCAGUCGCAGAGUUUGAUGAAGGACCAAAACACUGGAACCUGCUGCAGCACUCCACACAGCAGGUUUCAGCAGGAGAACAUGGAUUCACCUGCAGAGGAGGAUCUCACCUGUCCUGUCUGCAGGGACGUCUUCAAAGAGCCUGUCGUCCUGUCAUGCAGCCACAGCUUCUGUAGAGACUGUCUGCACAAGCGCUGGACAGACAGACAGACACAGGAGUGUCCACUUUGUAAGAGACGGUCAUCAAUGACCAUUAUUCCACCUGAUCUUACAGACCUGCUGUUGAAGGAGCUGACAGAGGAGAACUUCAGCAGCUCCUCUGAGUCUCUGCAGUCUGCACAGUGAGCAGCUCUUCAGUCUGGACCAUCAGCAGCCGGUGUGUCUCGUCUGUCUGCACACAUAUUAACAUUUACCCACGUGAGAAAUGGACUCUUAUUUCUGCAGCUCUUUCCCGUCUACUGACCGCUCAAAGCUGCUUUACAACAACUCAACAGUUUCACACAUUCACACAAACUGCUCAUCAGGAGAAAUUUGGGGUCCAGUAUCUUGCUCAAGGACACUUGGACAUGCAGCUUGGAGGAGCUGGGAAUCGAACCAGUGACCUUCCAAUUUCUAGACGACCCGCUGUGGCUCCUGAUCACAAACAGGAGCUUACUUGUGUUCGUGAUUCAGUUUUAUCAUCCUGUUUGUAAACUAAUGUCUUCAUUUAAAAAAUGUUCUGCUUUUACCUGAAUAAUUAAUAAUUCUAAGUGUAAAAAUUGGUGGAGUUAACCUUUUAGAACCAUCAUGUCUUCGUUAUUUUACACAUUUUCACUGGUGUCACAUGAUUUAAGCUCAGGUAGAGGAGUGUUUGUACUGUUAGUACUGUUUGUCAGAUAGUGGGAGGAGAGAGAAGCAGGGGAGGGGAAAGGGAAGGUGCGGUAAAGUUCUUUAUCGACGCUGUAUGUCAAAACGAAAGCAAAGUUGAAAUCCUGUUUGAGUCAGUGUGAGGCUGAGGGAAGUGGCCCCGCGUGUGAGAGAGAGAGAGAGAGGCUUUUAAAAAAGCUUUUAUAACAGAACUUCUUUCAAAAGAAUUCUAAAUGUUAAAAACAGACUGGAAACACAACUCCUCCUCCUCCAAACAGACGAGACCUCAUGAAAACGCCACAUCUUGAUCAAAACAUCCAGACUCUUCCUUAGGUUUUAAAAAUGUAAAUCAAUAAAAGCUCUUGUCCAAACUAAGGCAAUGAAAA